AAAAGCUCAAAUUUUAAAGCUGGCACCUCCGGUGUCCGCGUUGUAAUUUUGUGAGGCAUCUCCGGGUAGGGCGCCGGCCUAAGUUCCUUGGAACAGGACGUCAUAGAGGGUGAGAAUCCCGUGCUUGGCUGGCUGUCCCCGUCCAUGUGAGGUGUCUUCGACGAGUCGAGUUGUUUGGGAAUGCAGCUCAAAAUGGGUGGUAAAUUUCAUCUAAAGCUAAAUAUUGGUGGGAGACCGAUAGCGCACAAGUAGAGUGAUCGAAAGAUGAAAAGCACUUUGAAAAUAGAGUUAAAAAGUACGUGAAAUUGUUGAAAGGGAAGCGCUUGAGACCAGACUUCGGUGGGGAGUGAUCAGCUGUCCUUCUGGGCGGUGCACUUGCUCCCCUCCGGGCCAGCAUCGGUUGGGACGGCGGGAUAAAGGUCCUGGGAAUGUGGCUCCUUUCGGGGAGUGUUAUAGCCCGGGAUGAAAUGCCGCCAGCUCCGACCGAGGACCG
rnacentral:rRNA from 1 species